rnacentral:rRNA from 1 species
CACGUGGGUAACCUGCCCAUAAGACUGGGAUAACUCCGGGAAACCGGGGCUAAUACCGGAUAAYAUUUUGAACYGCAUGGUUCGAAAUUGAAAGGCGGCUUCGGCUGUCACUUAUGGAUGGACCCGCGUCGCAUUAGCUAGUUGGUGAGGUAACGGCUCACCAAGGCAACGAUGCGUAGCCGACCUGAGAGGGUGAUCGGCCACACUGGGACUGAGACACGGCCCAGACUCCUACGGGAGGCAGCAGUAGGGAAUCUUCCGCAAUGGACGAAAGUCUGACGGAGCAACGCCGCGUGAGUGAUGAAGGCUUUCGGGUCGUAAAACUCUGUUGUUAGGGAAGAACAAGUGCUAGUUG